AGCAGCCGCGGUAAUUCCAGCUCCAAUAGCGUAUAUUAAAGUUGUUGCAGUUAAAAAGCUCGUAGUUGAAUUUCGGGGUUCAUACAUUGGUCGGGCUUUUUGGUCUGUACUUAUGUAAUGGAUUCCUACCUUCUGAAUAACCAGCAUGCCAUUAAUUUGGUGCGCCGGGGAAGCAGAACUGUUACCUUGAAAAAAUUAGAGUGCUUAAAGCAGGCUAUCGCCUGAAUACAUUAGCAUGGAAUAAUGAAAUAGGACGGCAUGGUUCUAUUUUGUUGGUUUCUAGGAUCACCGUAAUGAUUAAUAGGGAUAGUUGGGGGCAUUAGUAUUCAAUUGUCAGAGGUGAAAUUCUUGGAUUUAUUGAAGACUAACUUCUGCGAAAGCAUUUGCCAAGGAUGUUUUCAUUAAUCAAG
rnacentral:rRNA from 1 species